AGUGAACGCUGGCGGUAGGCCUAACACAUGCAAGUCGAACGGCAGCACAGUAAGAGCUUGCUCUUACGGGUGGCGAGUGGCGGACGGGUGAGGAAUACAUCGGAAUCUACUUUUUCGUGGGGGAUAACGUAGGGAAACUUACGCUAAUACCGCAUACGACCUACGGGUGAAAUCAGGGGAUCUUCGGACCUUGCGCGAUUGAAUGAGCCGAUGUCGGAUUAGCUAGUUGGCGGGGUAAAGGCCCACCAAGGCGACGAUCCGUAGCUGGUCUGAGAGGAUGAUCAGCCACACUGGAACUGAGACACGGUCCAGACGCCUACGGGAGGCAGCAGUGGGGAAUAUUGGACAAUGGGCGCAAGCCUGAUCCAGCCAUACCGCGUGGGUGAAGAAGGCCUUCGGGUUGUAAAGCCCUUUUGUUGGGAAAGAAAAGCAGCAGGUUAAUACCCCGCUGUUCUGACGGUACCCAAAGAAUAAGCACCGGCUAACUUCGUG
rnacentral:rRNA from 1 species